rfam:Ixodes scapularis strain Wikel colony gcontig_1108378814300, whole genome shotgun sequence.
UUCUUGUUAGCUCAAUUGGUAGAGCGCUCCACUGGAAUUGGAUAGGUCCCUGCUUUGAUAUCAGGACCAGGAA